CUGUCACGCAAGGUUUGUGGUGGGGAGGUUGAACUAAGCUUGAUGGAGGGGGAGACCACUUCUGCAUCUUGGAAGUGGUGGAUGAUGGAUGAGGCAAUUGGGCCAGGUGGUUGGUAGUGCAGUCUGUCCUCAUUGCUUCAUUUCCCCUGGAUAUGGUUGUGGUAUCCCCCCUGCCCUCCACGGUGACCCCAGAAGACGACACAGCCACGAACUCCAUUACACCCACCACCAAGAUGAGCCGGCUGGAUGUCAUGGAGGAUAUUGGGGACCUGCAGGAGACAGAGCACAAAGACUUUGGAGCAGAUGGUUGGCCGGGUCUGCAGGGUCCAUGGCAAUUCCUCC